UGUGGGAGCGAGCUUGCUCGCGAUGGCAAUCCAUCAUUCAGCAUCAAUGCCGGCUGACACACCGCUAUCGCGAGCAAGCUCGCUCCCACA
rnacentral:misc_RNA from 1 species